UGGCUCAAUCGGAUAGAGCGUUGGACUUCUAAUCCAAAGGUUGCGGGUUCAAGUCCCG
rnacentral:tRNA from 1 species